rnacentral:lncRNA from 1 species
CAGUAUAGAUGGGUUUUUUGGGCUUUUAAAUCAAUACUGAAAAAUUACAUGAAUCAUAUAACAAUAUUUUUAUAAACAACUGGAUAAAAUUUGACCGAGCCAAAGAUUUUCACAUAAUAUGUUUUUUCUUCUUCAAAUUGCGAAGAGCCUAUAGGCACAAGAAAAAAAAAUCAUAAUUUUUGUUUUCACUUAUAUAACAUUUUUUCUCCUUUACACACGGAGUUUAUUACACUGCUAUAAGCAAUAUGUAGAACUCUAUUCAUAUAAGAUUCACAUCUACACUAUAUUUCUCUAUGAUUCAAAUCUUACAAAUUUAAUAUAUGUGCAGAUGUCCAUGUGAAAAAGCACGCACGCCAUC